GACGAACGCUGGCGGCGUGCCUAAUACAUGCAAGUAGAACGCUGAAGGAGGAGCUUGCUCUUCUGGAUGAGUUGCGAACGGGUGAGUAACGCGUAGGUAACCUGCCUGGUAGCGGGGGAUAACUAUUGGAAACGAUAGCUAAUACCGCAUAAGAGUAGAUGUUGCAUGACAUUUACUUAAAAGGUGCAAUUGCAUCACUACCAGAUGGACCUGCGUUGUAUUAGCUAGUUGGUGGGGUAACGGCUUACCAAGGCGACGAUACAUAGCCGACCUGAGAGGGUGAUCGGCCAAACUGGGACUGAGACACGGCCCAGACUCCUACGGGAGGCAGCAGUAGGGAAUCUUCGGCAAUGGACGGAAGUCUGAACGAGCAACGCCGCGUGAGUGAAGAAGGUUUUCGGAUCGUAAAGCUCUGUUGUAAGAGAAGAACGAGUGUGAGAGUGGAAAGUUCACACUGUGACGGUAUCUUACCAGAAAGGGACGGCUAACUACGUG
rnacentral:rRNA from 1 species